ACGUAGGGCGCAAGCGUUGUCCGGAUUCACUGGGUGUAAAGGGUGCGCAGGCGGGAAAGUAAGUUAGAGGUGAAAUCUCACAGCUCAACUGUGAAACUGCCUUUGAUACUGCUUUUCUUGAGUUAGGGAGAGGUUGAUGGAAUUCCAGGUGUAGCGGUGAAAUGCGUAGAUAUCUGGAAGAACACCGGUGGCGAAGGCGGCAUCCUGGACCGAGAUUGACACUGAUGAGCGAAAGCCAGGGGAGCAAACGGGA
rnacentral:rRNA from 1 species